CCUCUGAUAGCUCAGUUGGCAGAGCGGUGGACUGUAGCGUUCAACACGUGGAUAUCCAUAGGUCGCUGGUUCAAGUCAGGCUCAGAGGA
rnacentral:tRNA from 1 species